AUUUGGUGCUGAGAGUAUUUGAUGCACAACUUCUUGAAUCACUCCCAAUAGUCAUAAAGAGACUUUUAAGGGUGCUGUUUAAUGCCACAUAUCUCUUUUCUCAGACU